rnacentral:rRNA from 1 species
UACGAAGGGGGCUAGCGUUGUUCGGAAUCACUGGGCGUAAAGGGUGCGCAGGCGGGUUUAUAAGUCCCGGGUGAAAUCCCGAGGCUCAACCUCGGAACGGCCUUUGAUACUGUGGAUCUUGAGUCCGGAAGAGGGGAGUGGAACUGCGAGUGUAGAGGUGAAAUUCGUAGAUAUUCGCAAGAACACCAGUGGCGAAGGCGGCUCACUGGUCCGGAACUGACGCUCAUGCACGACAGCGUGGGGAGCAAACAGG